AUGACCGCUGAUAACCUGGAGCGUAGGGGUUGGCCUUCUAAUGGAAACUGCCCGUUGUGCCUCUCGACUCAUGAAGACUGUACACACCUUUUUGUGCAUUGUGCCUACACACAACAGGUUUGGAUGAAAUCCAGGGAAUGGACGCGCGCUGAUUUUCGAAUUCUGAAUGAUAGUUUCAUCAGUACAGAAGACUGGUGGCUGACUGCGCGAAAGGAGGUUCCCAAGAACGAUCGGCGCAAUUUUGACACCAUUACCAUACUGCUGCACUUGAGGAUUUGGAAGGAACAGAAUGCCAGAGUUUUUGAGCAUGUGGCAUGUAGCAUUGACAGGUUGUUGGAUCUAAUCAAAGAUGAUAUUAGGGCUUGGAGAGCUACUGGCUGUGUUAGCGAUCUCUUUUAG
rnacentral:rRNA from 1 species